rnacentral:rRNA from 1 species
GAAAGGUAACGGUAUAGGAUGGGACUACAUCUUAUCAGCCUGUUGGGGGUGUAACGUACUCCCAAAGCUAUAACGGGUACGUGCCAUGAGAGUGGAAGCCCGGAGAUGGAUUCUGAGACAUGAAUCCAGGUCCUACGGGACGCAGCAGUUACGAAACCUUCGCAAUGCUCUAGCGAGCGACGAGGGAACUUGGAGUGUUCAUGCUAUGCAUGAACUUUUGUCCAUUGCAAACAGGUGGGCGAAUAAGGGGUGGGCAAUACGAGUGCCAGCCGCCGCGGUAAUACUCGAGCCCCGAGUGGUAUCCGUUAUUAGUGGGUCUAAAGCGUCCGUAGCCGGUUUGGUAAGUUCCUAGUGAAAUUCUUUGGCAAACUGAAGAGCUUGCUGGGAAUACUAUCAGACUUGGGACUGGGAGAGGGUAGAGGUACUCCCGGGGGAGGGGUAAAAUCCUAUAAUCCUGGGGGGACCACCUGUGGCGAAGGCUUCUACCUAGAACAGGUUCGACGGUGAGGGACGAAACCUAGGGGAGCGAGCGGGAUUAGAUACCCCGGUAGUCCUAGGCGUAAACGAUGCCCGUUUGGUGUUGCUAACCUUUCGAGGGUUUGCAGUGCCGGAGUGUAGAUGUUAAACGGGCCACCUGGGGAGUACGACCGCAAGGUUGAAACUUAAGGGAAUUGGCGGGGGAGCACACAAGGGGUGGAGGCUGCGGUUC